rnacentral:lncRNA from 1 species
CGCUAUCCCACAGUCCGCAGGGGGGCGCUCUGCCCGCCGCCUCCUCUCUGUGGUCGGCCGCUCCUUGGCGGGCGGCUGAUAGGGGGCGGUGCUUGAGCGGCGCGGACCAAUCCCGACAGCGCCGCCGGCGUCGGGAAGCCUCCUAUUGGCCGGCCCCGCAUCGCGCGGGGACCAAUCCCCGCCGCCGUUGGUUUGGAAACCGGCGGCGCGCGGCGCGGGGCCCGCAGAAGGGUCCCGGCGGGGCCGGGCGCAGGGUGCGGAGCCCCCAUGGCGUCUCGCGGCCCCCCCGGCGGCGGGGAGAGCCGGGCCACGGAGCCCCGCGGGACGCCCCCGUUCCGGGCGGACCCGGCGGCGCUGGCCGCGAUCCUCAGCGGACCGGGCCCGGGCCCGGGAGCGCGGCCCGAGGCUCGGCCCGGCGGCGCCGUCAGGGCCUCGCUGGCCGGGCGCGUCCCGCUGCGGCUCGGCUCCCUCCGCACGCAGAUGCGCGCCCCCGGUGCCGCCGCCCGCUGCUGCCGCCGCUCAGCGCCCCGCUCCCCGCAGGCCUCGCGGCCGCUCCAGCGCCACCUCGACCGCGCCUCCGGUUUCUCUGUUCGGGCUCCCGGGGGCCCCCCGCGCCCCCUCGCCCUCCCUGCCGCCGCCCCGGUUCUCGAGCGCCGCGGCGAAGCCCCGAAGGAGGCGGCCGGGGCCCGGUCCCGCAGAGACCCUCCCGGCUGCGCUGGCCCCUGUCCUGCCCAGUGAGCAGCUGAGCGAGACGGGGGGAGCCACGGGGGGCAGACCCUGCCUGGCCCGCCGAGUGCCCGCCCGCGUCCCCUCCUCGGCCAGGGGCACCGCAGGAGCUGCCCGGGGGGCACAGGGGCUCCCACAAACCGCGGGGGGAGCCCAAGCUGAACCGCCAGGUUCCCUCCUUACCCAGGAGAGCGCGUCCAUGCUCCCAGACCGCCCCUCGAAUGAAAGCAGCACCCCAGGCACUGACCCCCCCCGAGCAUCUGGACCCUCCAACGUCGGCUUGGCUCGCCGUGUGCCCAUCACCAAGGCCAUGCGCUUUGAGGCAUCCAAAGAGCGCUUCUUCCGCACGCCGCGCCUCACCCCCCGCAGCCGCGUGUUGGGCACCCACCAGCGCCCCCUGAAGUGGAGACUGGCCCUGUCCCCCCAGCCUGGCCCCAGCACCGAUGCUGCUGAGAGCAAGGAGGAGGCCCCACCCUGGGAGAACAUCGUGGUGCAGCUCUUCAGGGAGGACGAGGGCCAGCAGGAGCCCGAGGGGCAGACACCGGCUCUGCCCAGCACCUCGCCGAGCUCCAGCACGGCUCAGGGCCGUGGUGCAGCUCUUCUGGGGGGACAAGGGCUGGCAGGAU